AUUGAACGCUGGCGGCAGGCUUAACACAUGCAAGUCGAGCGAGUGGCGGACGGGUGAGUAAUGCUUGGGAAUCUAGCUUAUGGAGGGGGAUAACUACGGGGAACUGUAGCUAAUAACGCGUACCAUAGGAUGAGCCAAAGUGGGAUUAGGUAGUUGGUGAGGUAAAGGCUCACCAAGCCGACGAGCUCUAGCUGGUCUGAGAGGAUGACCAGCCACACUGGGACUGAGACAGGGCCCAGACUCCGACGGUAGGCAGCAGGGGGGAAUAUUGGGCAAGGGGGCAACCUGACGCAACCAGGCCGCGUGAAGUAAGAAAGGCUUCGGGUUGUAAAGUUCUUUCGAUAGCGAAGCGUUAACUACAGAAGAAGCACCGGCUAACUCCGUGCCAGGAGCCGCGGUAAUAC
rnacentral:rRNA from 1 species